rnacentral:rRNA from 1 species
AACUCUCGACAACAAAUAUGUUGAACUCUUUUAUCGACAAAGAACGUAGCAAAUACGAUACUUGAUGUAAAUAUGUGAAUUGCAAAAUUUUAUAAACUAUCGAGUUGAAUGUAAAUUCCGCAUCAAGUAAUUAAGGGGAGAGCACGUCUACGUGUUG